GCCGGGGUAGCUCACCUGGUUAGAGCGCGGGACUCAUAAGCCCGAGGUAGAGAGUUCGAGUCUCUCCCCCGGUA
rnacentral:tRNA from 1 species